rnacentral:rRNA from 1 species
AAUGAACGUUGGCGGCGUGGAUUAGGCAUGCAAGUCGUGCGUGAACCGUAGCAAUACGGGGACAGCGGCGAAAGGGAGAGUAACGCGUGGAUACCUACCCCCAGGACCAGGAUAGCCGCGGGAAACUGCGGGUAAUACUGGAUAAUGUCUCCGGACCAAAGGUGUGAUUCCGCCCGGGGAUGGGUCCGCGUCCUAUUAGCUAGUUGGUAGGGUAAUGGCCUACCAAGGCAAAGAUGGGUAUGGGGUGUGAGAGCAUGCCCCCACUCACUGGGACUGAGACACUGCCCAGACACCUACGGGUGGCUGCAGUCGAGGAUCUUCGGCAAUGGGCGCAAGCCUGACCGAGCGACGCCGCGUGCGGGAUGAAGGCCUUUGGGUUGUAAACCGCUGUCAGAGGGGAGGAAAUGCCGUGGGGUUCUCUCCACGGUUUGACCUAUCCUCAGAGGAAGGACGGGCUAAGUUCGUGCCAGCCGCCGCGGUAAAAC